rfam:Puccinia graminis f. sp. tritici CRL 75-36-700-3 supercont2.95 genomic scaffold, whole genome shotgun sequence.
GGCGACAUGGCCGAGUGGUCUAAGGCGCCGUCUUAAGGAGGUCCCUGGGAUGUCCAGAGGCAUUCCAGGGCUGAUCCGGCGGUCUUCGGGCGUGGGUUCGAAUCCCACUGUCGUCA